AAAAUCCGAAUUUCAAGAGCCUUUGACCAGCUCAAUUAAGAAAUGGGCUGCAGCUACACAAAGAAAUGGUUGUAAAAAUUAAAUUUGCGCCCUCUAUUCAAAAAAACCAGUUCCUUAAAAAGAAAAUUAAGUUAAAAUUAAUAAAAGAAAGAGCAGUUGUGCGAAUGUAACAAAAAGAUUUCUCUUUAUUGCUAAAUCAUCUUAUGAGUAUGCUCAUCAUUUAUUGGUUGUUAAAACAGUUGGUCAUAAUUUCAAUUCUUUUUCUUCCAAAACUGAAACAAGUAUCCCUUUUCGAUUCGCCACUGUCUCAACAUAUCCCUUUAUAAAUAUUUACUUCCUUUUUCUUCUGGAAAAAAGCCGUUUUUAAUUGAUGACAAAUCGCCCAAAGCAAUUCAGCUGAUCUAAUAUUAAUGCGACAAUUAAUUGCUUUUUAUUUUUUCCUUUCAUUUGUGCAGAAGUGAAUAUUCUUUUAAACAAAAAACAAAUAAAAAGAAAAAAACCUGCUGAUUGCCGUUGAUUGAUUUAGCACUGCUUCAAGUUAUCACUCAAUUAAGGUGUCUCAGUUUAUCUCCAAAAUUCCAUCUAUCUAAAAUAAUCAAAAUUUAUCGACAGUGUCUUUUGUUUAUAAUUUUUUUACACUUCGUCAAGUUGCUUUUCUUUCAUUGGUGGUAGUAAAGUAACUUACGUGGGAUAAACGCCCCACAAAUUAUUAUUUAAUAAAAGAUUGCACAAAAGCAUAUUAUUAGGUGCGCAAUCUGAGUAUUCUUGAGACCUGAAUUAAUAUCUAGUUUAGAGUGGUACAACAAUAACUGGCAGCAGAAUGACACACAAGAAUACAACAACUUCUUUGAUAUUUAUUUCUCUCCUUAUUGUUAUCUUCAGUGCCGGUGUCAACAUGGUAUAUGGAACCGGGCCUUUCGACACAAUGAAGCGGCUUGCGAGGGUCAAAGCUCUAAAAGAGAGAACAGUUGAGGGUUUUCUUUGUGACGGGGACAAACGGAAGAUUCCCUACAAUUAUGUGUGUGACGGGGAGUUCGACUGCUUGGACGAAUCGGACGAAAACGUCGUACUCUGCGGGAUGAUGGGGUGACACAGGGGAUGGGGUUGCAUCCAAACCCAGACAGGCUCAUCAAAUCAUCUUCAUUUCAAUGUUUGAUCACAUCACCUGAAAGCGGUCAUUCAUCAAUCAAUAGAAAGAAGAACUGCAAUCAGAACCCUUAAGUGAUACAAUCAGAAAAUUAUGAGAACAACUUAACCUCAUUUUGAUUAUUUGAUGUGUUUCGAAUGGGUUCCAAUGUAAAAUCGAAGUUAUAACUUACUUUAUAAACAUCUGGUGAAAAACAGUUGAUGUUAUAAUGUAAAAAUCAUUUGAAGAUCUGAUGAAUUUGAGCAAUGUGUAAAAUAUCAACCAG